UACGUAGGGCGCAAGCGUUGUCCGGAAUUAUUGGGCGUAAAGAGCUUGUAGGCGGUUUGUCGCGUCUGCUGUGAAAAUCCGGGGCUCAACCCCGGACUUGCAGUGGGUACGGGCAGACUAGAGUGUGGUAGGGAGACUGGAAUUCCUGGUGUAGCGGUGAAAUGCGCAGAUAUCAGGAGGAACACCGAUGGCGAAGGCAGGUCUCUGGGCCACUACUGACGCUGAGAAGCGAAAGCAUGGGGAGCGAACAGGAUAGAUAC
rnacentral:rRNA from 1 species